ensembl:lincRNA
AAACCCACUUCACUAGCAGUCAUAUAAAAGUAGAGCACGCACAGCUAUGUGCCAUACGUCAUACUUGAUGAUAACAAUAAGCAGCUGUCUACUGGCAUAAGUAUUUACUAUAUCAUCUUCCUAAUCACCAUUUAAAAAUGUAUUGCUACUAAUUUUUGAGACAUUUCAUGAACAGCAGGGUGCAUUGUGACACUUAUCCUCAUGUUUUGAGUCUGCAGCAUCUCUCGAUGGCAGCGGGAGGCCACGCAAGGUGCCGGCCUACACCGCGAGGUUUGUCUGGAGCACAGGGCUGUCCCUGGACCUGGGGCAGCCCCCUGGAGUGCUGGGAUCCUCUAGGGGAGGAUGACCUGGUCAAGUGUGGACCACGUGCCUCAGGUGGUGGAGUUGAGGACACCACAGGGGGCUCAUUGUUCCCAACCUAGGUAAGCAAGAGAUCUUGGUUACAUUAGAAACCUAUUCUUACUCUGUGAGUGUGAGCUAGUACCUUCUACUUCCCCUGAUUCUGUCUCACAGUCAAUGACAAGCAGAGGAGAGGGCCAGCCGGUGUGUGUAGGUUCCUGCUCUUGGUCCAUUACUUCUACUCAGGAAGCCUGUUGCCUUUGAACGUCUUUAAGUUUUAAAGUUCUAGACUGCUGAAUCGCUGCCUGAUGACCACCAUGUGAGCAUUCAAGCUCCCAGCACUCAGCAAGGUCGGUUAGGAAAGCAGCUCCAGGUGCCUCAUCCCAAUGAUUCCUCAUCAUCCUGGGUCUACAGCAAGCUCUUGAUUUAAAUUACUGACACCUCCUAUCUGAGCUUCCUGUUCAGAAUGCUAAGACUGCAAAGUGUGCACUGAUAUUUAAUGAAGGAAGGAGACGCAUUCGGGGCUGAAUCCCACCUCUACCCACUCACUCACUCUCAGAUGAGCUUUCUCUGCCAUCCCACCUGCCUUUCGUCCUGGACAAGCAAAUGGGAUCAGCCAAGAUGCAUGCUGGGCACCUCAGGCUGUCACUGCAUCCCCAUUGUCUUGGAAUUCUCCAGUCACCUCCUGUAGGAAGCUCUGAAAACCUGGCCCUGGCAGAAACAAAGCCAGGAAAGCUCCACAGGAGUAUGUGGAGGGCGCGUGGGAAGUAUCUCCAAGGUGCUGAUGAUAGCAACUCAGCUCUGCAGUGCUUGUUAGAAAACGCAUUUGCGAUUCCUGCCAUAUCUCACACUUAAAAUCUGCAUGUUAAAAUUUAAAAGAACAGAAAGAUAAAGAACAUGCACAUUUGCCCUAAUAUCCAGCUUCACAUUGCCUUAGUUAUUAAAAAGAAGUGAAGCAGAAAUGAGGAAAGAUCUUGGUUUCAUUUCCCUUCUCAUCCUCUCUUCCCACAAGUUUUGCCUUUUCCAAACCACUUGCCCUUUGUUUCCAAGUCUUCCUUCUAUUUAACUUCCUGUUACCACACCUGCUUUUGGCCAGUUUCAGGUCAUCUCCUGACCCGCAUGCCCCUCACUAAAGGCAGGGCUGGAGAUGGUUCGGGGCACCUUUUAUUUCAUCCUCAUGAAAACCCCCUAAGUCAUUAAAACCUCCGC